CCUACGGGCGGCAGCAGUGAGGAAUAUUGGUCAAUGGGCUUACGCCUGAACCAGCCAAGUCGCGUGAGGGAAGACUGCCCUAUGGGUUGUAAACCUCUUUUGUCAGGGAGCAAUUUGCGCUACGUGUAGCGUUAUCGAGAGUACCUGCAGACAAAGCAUCGGCUACCUCCGUGCCAGCAGCCGCGGUAAUACGGAGGAUGCGAGCGUUAUCCGGUUUUAUUGGGUUUAAAGGGAGCGUAGACGGUUAUGUAAGUCUGGAGUGAAAGCCCGGGGCCCAACCCCGGGACUGCUUUGGAAACUGUGGAACUGGAGUACAGGAGGGGCAGGCGGAAUUCCUGGUGUAGCGGUGAAAUGCGUAGAUAUCAGGAGGAACACCGGCGGCGAAGGCGGCCUGCUGGACUGAAACUGACGUUGAGGCUCGAAAGCGUGGGGAGCAAACAGGAUUAGAUACCCUAGUAGUC
rnacentral:rRNA from 1 species